AGAGCAACUGCGUACUGUGCCACCAAGAGUGAAGUACUUACUUUGGUAAUGCUGCCUUCCACAGAGCAGCAGACAAUGAGAGAAGCUGAAAAUGGAGUUUCUACAAAACUUUAUUAACUUUGAGAGUGAAGGAGAGCACAGAUGUUUUUAUGUGUUUGUUUUUCGGUCUUGUGUUUUUUUAUUGUGUAUGGUUGUGAGUUAAAUAUUAAGUAUGAUUACAGGACUAGGUUAAAUUGAAGCGUGUUUUGAAUCUAAGGGAACUAUCCAUGCAAACGGAGUUAACCUUCUUGGUCAUCAUACUACGGGCUAAUCCAGGGACAGGCAGAUCCAGACUGACAUACAUAGUGGAGUUACUCACUUGGGACUAAUAGUCUGAGGCCAAAUGAACAGUCUCAUCACCUAUCAACCCAAAAUGCACUCAGUCUUGUGUCUCAUAUAAGCCAUUUACAAUUUGUGUGUAUAAGUUAUAUCUGGCAUGUUAGCUUUUUAUCAUCAAUAUUCUCCUAAUAACUAUUCUUAAUCUGUUAAGCAAGCAGCAUAGAAACAAUGUCUAAUUGCUGCUUGCCAGUGGAAAUAGCUAGGAUUUUUGUCUUUAAUGGAAACUUGUCAAAAUGUCUUAAGUAGAUUUUUUUAAGAUAUUACUUUUUCAUCAGGAAGAUAUUUUUAUCAUUGAAAUUAUCAAAAGAACAAGUAAAAAAAAUAGAACAGCAAAACCCAGCACAUUUAGGUAGGAUUUUGUCCACAAGCCAGAUGAAAUCACAAACAGUUUGAGUAUUUAAAAAGAACAAAAGCUUCAUGCAAACUGAGAAAUUACUCAGGAAGAAAAAAAGAAUAGCAGCCCCUCCCAUCUGACUGGCUGCCAGUUUUUUGUGUUUAUUCUUACAUUCUUUAUACUUGCACAAUCUAACACAUUUAUCCUUCCCACAGGAGUUACUCUGAUAUGCAUUGCACAUUAAUAUGCACAUUUAAAUGAGGAGUCAGGUUCCAGGUUAUAAUAAAAACCACUUAUGAAAAAUGCCUUCCUGAUUUCAAAUCUUUAAGACAGCCACAACAGAUGAAAUUAUUUUUCAAGGAAGUGUGCCACAUUUAGCGGAGUGUGGCUUUUCCAGAAGGUGGUUCGAAGACUCUUUCUUGCUUUAGUUGCUCUGGGCUCCUUCCCAGCCUCUCUACCUACAAAUGGGCAUAGAUACCAGGGCAGAGCUGGAAUUCAGCACGGCUGCUUCAGAAGAAUCUUUCCUGGUGUACUUAGAACUUCGUGGAUUGCUGGAGGAUUGAUGAUCAGAAGGCUGCUUGACUCUCCUUCAUCUUUGAAAGUAAGAUCUGGAUGGCAACAUGCAAAUAUAAAGUAGAGAGGUAAAGUCUGCCAAGAAUCAGAACAUGUCCCUCAGGUGUGAAGAUGUACUUCUCUGGCACACUGUCAAGUUUUGCUUUUCUAUCACUAUAAGAACAUGCAAGUAAGAAAAGCCAUGGAGUAAUGCAGACACAAGAAGCCUCUUCUAUAGCACAAAGCAAGUAUUCUAGGAGUUAAGGGAGAAGGAGGCAUUGGAGACCGGUCAAUGGGAAGCAAGGAGAGAGCUUCCCUUGUUGCUGCCCGUGAGUGCCCUUCAGCCUUCCAGCUCUGCUCCCAAGCCAGCUGCUGCCCUGGGGAGAUAGGACAGCUGUAUCAGAAUGGAGUAGAAACUGACGCUUUUCUCAGUUGCCUCCAACUGAAGUUUAGAAACGUGAAGAUGUCAUCACCUCUGUGAUAGGGUAGAUUUUUCAGGCUACAGCAUAUUCAGAAGAGAAAGAUAGACAUGAACACUUCCAUACAGAAAGCCUCUUACGUGGGCCCAGAAGCAUGCUGGGCCCAUAAUUCGGAGGUCGAUGGAUCAUAAAGCCUCUCACUCUUAGGCAGCUUAGCCUGUGCACAGGAAAAGCUACAUUUGCAGUUAGGAGAUUUCUUUGAAAUCAUGAAAGCUUUUAUUUAAAUAUAAUUUUAAUUAAAAUAUAUAUGUUUGUGCAUUUCCGUGGGGGUGCAUUAUAGUAAUUUGGCACAUAUAUUCUAUGUGUAUUGAUUAAAUCAGGAUAUAUGGGUAUUCAUUUUUAAAACAUAAGUCAUUUAUUAUGUAUUGUUGUUUAUUAUGUAUUGGGAAGUCCAUCUUCUAUAUCAUUUUGAAAUAUUUCAUUUAUUGUUUUAGUGCAUCGUUACCUUUCUGGGGCACAGGAAAACAAAAGCGAUCCCUCCUCCCUGCUUGCGUUUUUGUAUCUCUCAUUGACUUCUCACCUCCUGGUCUUCUUUCCCCCUAGGGGCCAGUAUUAUAUCCAGUGUUUUCCCAAGACUGACCUACUACUUUCCACAAAGGAGUGAGAAUAUGUGGUACCUGUUUUUUUUCACAUCACUUCUGUGUUCUUUUCUGUUCUCUUAAAACAAGAGAAAAGAUAAGAAACAAGAAAGAGAACAAAGGAGCUCAGAGCCCCUUGAGGGCUCAUGGGUAAGAUGUAGCUGCCAGGUGAUCAUGAUUUGGAUCACCUCAGGCACGUGACUUUUCCUGCUCCUGCAACAGUUGUCUCAAGGAAAGGGCUGCAGAGACCCUGGCUGGGGGCUGGUCAAGGUAGGGCUAAAGGGCAGUGGCCACACUCUGUUGACUCUAUUAGCAGGAAUAGGGGAUUAGGUCAUGAAUCUGUUUGCUAGACUGGAAGAACAUGGAAUUCAAACUGAAAAUAAGUGUCUUAAGUUGUUUUUUUUUUAAAUUUGUCUUUUAUUUUUGAGAUUACAAUGCAAUUAUAUCUUUUCUCCUGUUCUAAAUAAUCCCCUUGAGAGGAAGUAUUCUAUUAACUCAAAGGUCCUAAUUCUUAUCAUGGGUAUUUCUCUCCAAAUCAAAGCAUCUCACUUUCAUCUUUUAUUCCACAGAAAUGCUUCAUUGGCUGGGCAGAAUUUAUCUAUAAGAAGUGUAUUCAUACACGAGGCUGGUUUCUUCAACUUCUUUUAUGAAAGCGUUCAACAGUGAUGGGAUGAGAGAUGAAAAAUCCGAGGUUCGCCUUUUGUGUUUAUUCUUCUGACUUUUCCAUCUUCCUUUUAUCCUCCCCUCAGAUCUGCUCACAUAUUCCUGGUGGCUGGGAAGUCGUUGUUGUCUGAAUUCUGGAAGCCCUGGAGCACUGGUGCACCUGUGAGUCUGAAGCCUGAGAAAGAGGAGGUCGUUGUAUGCACCACAGUCUCAGGGCAAGCUAUGGUAGAUGAGCUCAAGCACUGAUACAGAAAACAAUGCAAAACAGGGAUGUGUUUUUCCUUUGAGUUUGUUUCAUGAAGGUACUCCAGGGAUUUGAUAGUGCCCACCCACAAUGAGGCAAACCAAUGGCUUUCUCAGGCCACUGAGUCAAGUACUAUUUUUUUACAACACACUGUCACAGACACACCCACAAAUUCGGUUUAUUUGAACAAGGACAAGACAGUCAAAUUGAUGUAAAAUGAAUGAAUAUAUCUUAUUUAUAUUUGCUUCUCCAGUAGAGGUUUCUGUCCCAUUCCAAAGCCCAUUCUGUGUAACUUUAGGGUUUUCCAAUCUUAUUCAGUCUAAUUAUUCUCUAUUUAAAGCAUUUAUAAAAUGGGCAUUUCUUUAUGAGACAUAACAAUGAUUUUGUAUGGGGCCUUACAUAUUUUCAUAAAAUGACUUUGCCAAAGAGAAAGGGGAGGAGGUAUAAUAUCUAGAAAGAAAUUCAAAUUGGGUCUAGUUCAUAUCAUGCCCUAGUACAUGUUCACAUAUGUGUUUUAAAUUAGAUUUAUUAAUUUUAUUUUAUAUGGAGUGUCUUGCCUGCAUGUAUGUGUGUGCAUGGUGUGUGCACCAUGGAGGUCAAAAGAGGGCAUCAAAAACUGUGUUGCCAUGGAACUGGAGUUUGGAUAGUUGGGAACCACCAUGUGGGUGCUGGGAAUUGGGCCCAGGUCCUCUGCAAGAGCAAGAGGUGCUCUUAACUGCUGGGCCAUGUCUCCAGCCCCCUCAUAUAUGUAUUUAAUGUUUAAAUAUAUGUUAUGUAUUUACUGAAAAUAGGUACCAGGUAUUCUUAUCUGACUUCUAACCUACCAUUUAUUUGCUUGGUUAUAGUCAAUUUAAUACCCAACCCAUAACUAACACUGUAAAAAGGCUUUUAAACCUUUAAUUCCCAAUCAGUUGUUUUAAAGUUUUCUCCAAGAAAAUGCUCUGUUCAAAAUUUUAACAUAGUAAACUGUUGCAGAACUGGACACAAUAUUUCUUAGAUCAUGAUAGUGAUAAGGACUGAUCACUAAGUAUUCCUACUACCUUAUCAGUCAAUGUUGUAUAACUUUGGGGCAGAGAUGUCAGAUACAAAUGAAGAGUUAAGAAAGUAUUUAUCUGUCUAUACAGUGUAUUUAUGCCUAGGGCAGGAAAAAUUAACAUUUUUGAUCUCCUGUUAUCAGAUGUUUAUUUCCUCAAAGGAAUAUGAAUUAAUAGAUGCUUAUCCUGCUUUUAAAUAUUGUAACUAAGUUUGUAGUUGUUGGCUUGGGGAAUGAGGAAUCUGUAAUGUUGCUCUGUCUGACAGGGAGCUGUUAGCUGCCUGUGUUUUGUAGGGAGAAGUGUUUUUUCCUUGUGUAUAUUGAUCAGAAAUAUAUAGAAGAAAUUGUAAUGAAAAUCAGUAUGUAUAUAAAUUUUAUAAUCAAAAUUUUCCAGUCUAUACUUUAUGUUUCCUAAAUCAUAUACUUGUAAAGAAACCAGUCUGUGAGUUUUUAUGGUAUAAAUCCCAAGAAAACCUAUGUAAAUUCAUGUGUAAAAUAUGUAUCGCAAGGUAAUAUAUUAGACUGAUAUCUACAACAUACAUCCUUAUGAAGUUAGUCUUAGGAUAUGAUUAUUGGAAUUCUGCAAAUAUUUUUAUUUAAGCUUUAUUAUUAAAAAUCACUCAAU